CAAAACAGUAACCCGCCUCCGGGCGGGCCUACUAUCAACCCUUUGUUGUCCGACCGCGUUGCCUCCGGGGCGACCCUGACCUUCGGGCUCUGGGGGGACCCCGGGUGGACACCUAAACUCUGCGUAACUUUGUAGUCUGAGUAAAAUUUUUAUAAAUUA
rnacentral:misc_RNA from 1 species